CCGUAAAAUUGCAGUUGAUACUGUCAGUCUUGAGUACAGUAGAGGUGGGCGGAAUUCGUGGUGUAGCGGUGAAAUGCUUAGAUAUCACGAAGAACUCCGAUUGCGAAGGCAGCUCACUGGACUGCAACUGACACUGAUGCUCGAAAGUGUGGGUAUCAAACAGGAUUAGAUACCCUGGUAGUCCACACAGUAAACGAUGAAUACUCGCUGUUUGCGAUAUACAGUAAGCGGCCAAGCGAAAGCAUUAAGUAUUCCACCUGGGGAGUACGCCGGCAACGGUGAAACUCAAAGGAAUUGACGGGGGCCCGCACAAGCGGAGGAACAUGUGGUUUAAUUCGAUGAUACGCGAGGAACCUUACCCGGGCUUAAAUUGCAGUGGAAUGAUGUGGAAACACGUCAGUGAGCAAUCACCGCUGUGAAGGUGCUGCAUGGUUGUCGUCAGCUCGUGCCGUGAGGUGUCGGCUUAAGUGCCAUAACGAGCGCAACCCUUAUCUUCAGUUACUAACAGGUCAUGCUGAGGACUCUGGAGAGACUGCCGUCGUAAGAUGUGAGGAAGGUGGGGAUGACGUCAAAUCAGCACGGCCCUUACGUCCGGGGCUACACACGUGUUACAAUGGGGGGUACAGAAGGCAGCUAGCGGGUGACCGUAUGCUAAUCCCAAAAUCCUCUCUCAGUUCGGAUCGAAGUCUGCAACCCGACUUCGUGAAGCUGGAUUCGCUAGUAAUCGCGCAUCAGCCACGGCGCGGUGAAUACGUUCCCGGGCCUUGUACACACCGCCCGUCAAGCCAUGGGAGCCGGNNNNNNNUGAAGUACGUAACCGCAAGGAUCGUCCUAGGGUAAAACUGGUGACUGGGGAUGAGUCGUAACAAGGUAACCA
rnacentral:rRNA from 1 species